UCUUAGGUCUCCAGAUUCAGAAUCAAAGGGAUGUCCUGGAAGAAAAACAAACAAACAAAAGGCCCAUGAGGUGGAGUGAAAUGGAUCAAGAGAAUUAUAUUCAAUUUCACCUAAGUUUUCUCAAAAGGAGGAGCAUUAAGAAUCAGCCACCUUAGUACAUACUUAAAGAUUUACUGAGAUCUGAUCCUGUGCCCACUGAUGAAACAUCAGAGGAAUAGGAUCCUAUAGGUGAAGAUCAUCAGCUUAUAAAAGCCCGUUGCCAUCAGUAGGGUUGGCAGGGAAAGGAUGAAGAUUGGUUAAGAGGCCAGUGGACUCAGCAUUGAAAUGAAUCAUGGACUUGAUGCUAAAAGACUCAGUUCGUGUCCCAGUUCUCUCAAGCAAAGCCCCCAAGUCCCAGCUUCCUCAUUUAUGAAAAAGGAUAAAAAUACUUAAUGGA